rnacentral:rRNA from 1 species
CCUACGGGUGGCAGCAGUAGGGAAUAUUGCUCAAUGGGGGAAACCCUGAUGCAGCAACGCCGCGUGGGGGAUGAAGCUUUUCGGCUCGUAAACUCCUAUCGUUAGAGAAGAUAAUGACGGUAUCUAACGAAUAAGCACCGGCUAACUCCGUGCCAGCAGCCGCGGUAAUACGGAGGGUGCAAGCGUUACUCGGAAUCACUGGGCGUAAAGAGCGCGUAGGCGGGAUAGCAAGUCAGAUGUGAAAUCCUAUGGCUUAACCAUAGAACUGCAUUUGAAACUGUUAUUCUAGAGUAUGGGAGAGGUAGGUGGAAUUCUUGGUGUAGGGGUAAAAUCCGUAGAGAUUAAGAGGAAGACU